rnacentral:lncRNA from 1 species
AAAAUUUUUUCUUGAUCCUCUCAGUUCUCUUCUUCCUCAGUUGAAACACCCCAGUUCCUGUAAGCAAUGAAAUGCAAACAUAUUUUUUACUACAGAGAGAGUGCUUUUACAGCAUUUUUUUCCACAAGAAGAAUGAAAAAAGAAUCUUCCUCUUAGGAAUAGGUGCAAUACUAAGGAAUGAAAAUGACAUCUGCAUUGAUCCUGACUCUCUAGGAAGCAUCGAUUCAGAGAACAGGUCCAUCUUUUUCAAGAUCCCUACUUCAUACAUAGGAAGAUUAGUACACUUAGCACGUUAAUGUUCCAGGACUUUCAAACUACUAGCAAAAAAACUUUUAACCUUCUCUGCCAGCAGCUGUACCAAAGGGGAGAGGAUGUAGGAAGGAAAAAAUAUUCUCCAGAGUUUGAAUCACUUCAGAUUAAUUGUUAUUAGGUUUUUUUUGGCCAUCCUCAGAGGUUUUAUUCAGUCCCUGAGGAAAAAAAAACCUCAACCAUCUCCUCCCCAAACAACCAUUAUUCUGGUCUAUGAAUAAUGUAAUGCAAUUUUAAAAAAAAUACCCCAAAGACAAACCACAACACCUAUCUUCUUUAUAUCUUCUGGACAUGAGCUGCAUUUGGGAAUAUACUUUGUGCUGGAAUUAAAGUUGUCAUCUUUGAACUGUUUGCAGAUCUUUCAGCAUUGAUGGAUUGCUAUGUGUUUGCAUAUAAUGCAUAUGAGAUUACCAGAUAAUGCAAAGCAUUUCCAAUUCUAGGCUGAUGUCCCCACACCCAUCCUUCACCUUUCUUGUCUCUCCUUCUAUGGAGAGUAAAAAUGAACAGAGUGUACAUAAAAGUAGAAAAAAAAACCCCUCAGAUUUCCAGGUGAUUAUUUGAAUGGAAGGGAAUAUUAACUUCUAAAUCUCACUUUUAAAAUUAGAUUAUGACAUGCUAAAGCAAAUUCAUUUGGUAGGUCUUAGUACCUGCCCUGCUUUGAAGAUGGCAGGGUUUGUAGUAGUGGUCAUGCUUUUGUGGGGAAAAAAAGAUGGCCAAAACGACCUUGUUUUUUUACAAACCAGGCAGAGUAUAUCUUAAUAAAUACAGACAAUCUAAGCUACUGGUUUCCUAU